rnacentral:tRNA from 1 species
UCCCUGGUGGCUUAGAGGGUAAAGCAUCUACUUGUAAAUGCAGGAGACCCGGGUUCGAUCCCUGGGUCGGGAA